UACGGAGGGGGCUAGCGUUGUUCGGAAUUACUGGGCGUAAAGCGUGCGCAGGCGGCUUUGCAAGACAGAUGUGAAAUCCCCGGGCUUAACCUGGGAACUGCAUUUGUGACUGCAUGGCUAGAGUGCGGCAGAGGGGGAUGGAAUUCCGCGUGUAGCAGUGAAAUGCGUAGAUAUGCGGAGGAACACCGAUGGCGAAGGCAAUCCCCUGGGCCUGCACUGACGCUCAUGCACGAAAGCGUGGGGAGCAAACAGG
rnacentral:rRNA from 1 species